GAUGAACGCUAGCGGGAGGCUUAAUACAUGCAAGUCGAACGGCAGCAUAACACUUCGGUGUUGAUGGCGAGUGGCGCACGGGUGAGUAACGCGUACACAAUCUACCUAUAAGCGGGGGAUAGCCACUGGAAACGGUGAAUAAUACCCCAUAGUAUUGAUUUUAUGAUAUAUGAUCAAUUAAAGCUCCGGCGCUUAUAGAUGAGUGUGCGUCCGAUUAGCUAGUUGGUAAGGUAACGGCUUACCAAGGCGACGAUUGGUAGGGGGCGUGAGAGCGUGAUCCUCCACACGGGUACUGAGACACGGACCCG
rnacentral:rRNA from 1 species